CCAUCUCUUGCUGUAUCACCACAGCUUCAUGCUCCGUCUCUUCCUGUAACACCACAGCUAGAUGAGGAAGGAGGUGAAGGGGGUUGGAAGAGGGAGCUACUCUUCUCCAACGUGAGCUCAAUUGUCACAGUCGUCUUCUUUUUCUUCUUCUUCUCCACCUCCUUUUCUCCCACUACCUCUUCCUGCUGUGCUUCCUGUUUCACCACAGCUUCAUGCUCCAUCUCUUGCUGUAAC